AACGAACGCUGGCGGCAUGCCUAACACAUGCAAGUCGAACGAGACCUUCGGGUCUAGUGGCGCACGGGUGCGUAACGCGUGGGAACCUGCCCUUAGGUUCGGAAUAACUCCCCGAAAGGGGUGCUAAUGCCGGAUAAUGUCUUCGGACCAAAGAUUUAUCGCCUUUGGAUGGGCCCGCGUUGGAUUAGCUAGUUGGUAGGGUAAAAGCCUACCAAGGCGACGAUCCAUAGCUGGACUGAGAGGAUGAUCAGCCACACUGGGACUGAGACACGGCCCAGACUCCUACGGGAGGCAGCAGUGGGGAAUAUUGGACAAUGGGCGAAAGCCUGAUCCAGCAAUGCCGCGUGAGUGAUGAAGGCCUUAGGGUUGUAAAGCUCUUUUACCCGGGAUGAUAAUGACAGUACCGGGAGAAUAAGCUCCGGCUAACUCCGUG
rnacentral:rRNA from 1 species